GACGGAGGAUGCAAGCGUUAUCCGGAAUGAUUGGGCGUAAAGCGUCCGCAGGUGGCAGUUCAAGUCUGCUGUCAAAGACCGGGGCUUAACUUCGGAAAGGCAGUGGAAACUGAACAGCUAGAGUAUGGUAGGGGCAGAGGGAAUUCCAGGUGUAGCGGUGAAAUGCGUAGAUAUCUGGAGGAACACCGGUGGCGAAGGCGGCAAUCCUGGACCGGUAUUGACGCUGAGGCGCGAAAGCUAGGGAGCAACGGG
rnacentral:rRNA from 1 species